rnacentral:rRNA from 1 species
GCAAGUCGAGCGGUAACAGGAAUUAGCUUGCUACUCGCUGACGAGCGGCGGACGGGUGAGUAACGCGUAGAAAACUGCCCGGUAGUGGAGGAUAGCCCAGAGAAAUUUGGAUUAAUACUGCAUACGCUCUACGGAGGAAAGCGGGCUCCGGCUCGCGCUAUCGGAUGUGUCUGCGUGAGAUUAGCUAGUUGGUGAGGUAAUGGCUCACCAAGGCGACGAUCUCUAGCUGGUCUGAGAGGAUGAUC